rnacentral:lncRNA from 1 species
UUUUUCUAACCUAAGUAAUCCUCUAAAACAUUAGUUUCCCUAAAGUCCAGAAAUGACCUAAUUUGGCUUUUUUGGAAUAAAAAUUAUACAGGAAGCAUUUGUCAAAUAUGAAAUGGUAUUUGGUUUUCUGUGUUUGGUUUUAUUUGGGCUGUAUUUGUACAAAUAUGUUAUUGGCAUGUGUUCCAAAAUUAUGGGAAACUCCUGUAAUUCUGAUAUAACCUAGUGUACAUUAUCAGUAAUAAUCAUAAUUGUUAUGUUAAAAUCAUUGGGUGCAGAAGAGGUAACAAAUAUCCUUGUCAGUUGUAUCUAUUAAAUAUGACUGCCUUAAAACAUUUUUUUCAUCCAUGGUCCAUUUUCUUGUUUUGGUCCUCAUUAGAAGGGGGUUUAAUAAUCAGCUUUAAAACUCAAACAGGUGCUCUUCAAUGCAGGUUUCUGAUAACUUUGGAGAUUGUGACAUCAGAAUAGAGGAAUAACUUUCAGGACCCCUGAAGAGUAAAAUAUUCAUGAUUAUCAAGCAGAACAGGCAUGAACUGCAUGGACUGAACAAAUCUUUUUGACUUUUUGCUUAAAAUGUUUGCUGAUCCUUCGUUUUGUUUUUCAGAGUCUUAAAACUUUUCUUUCAAGCUAAUGACAGCCUUUAACAGUUUAGUAUACUCCUAUGAACAAAAUAUGGAGCAUAUUUGUUUCUUUCUACUGAGUUCUCCAGAAUUUGGAAACUAUCUAGUUUUGCUCUGUCACACAGGCUGGAAUGCAUUGGCACCAUCUUGGCCCACCACAACCUCUGCCUCCUGGGUUCAAGCAAUUCUCCUGCCUCAGCCUCCCAAGUAGCUGAGAUUACAGGUGCCCACAACCAUGCUCGGCUAAUUUUUGUAUUUUUAGUUGAUACAAGGUUUCACCAUGUUGGCCAAGCUGGUCUCAAACUCCUGACCUUAAGUGAUCUGCCCACCUGGGCCUCCCAAAGUUCUGGGAUUACAGGUGUGAGCCACCUCACCUGGCCAUAUUUAUUGAAUAAAUUGAAUUAAUGCUUUCCGAAAAAAUUUUGGCAUUAAGCAAUUAUUCCUUAAACAGAAAAGUGAAAUAGGGUAAGAUGCUUUCUAUUCAUUCCGCACAAAUCUGGGAAGGAAGGAUAGAGUACAGAGGCAUU